GCCGCAGUGGCUCAGUGGUAGAGCACAUCCUUGGUAAGGAUGAGGUCGAAGGUCCGAUUCCUUCUUGCGGCACCA
rnacentral:tRNA from 1 species